rnacentral:rRNA from 1 species
AUUGAACGCUGGCGGCAUGCCUUACACAUGCAAGUCGAACGGUAACAGGGUGCUUGCACCGCUGACGAGUGGCGAACGGGUGAGUAAUGCGUCGGAACGUGCCGAGUAGUGGGGGAUAACGCAGCGAAAGUUGUGCUAAUACCGCAUACGUACUGAGGUAGAAAGUGGGGGACCUUCGGGCCUCACGCUAUUCGAGCGGCCGACGUCAGAUUAGCUAGUAGGUGAGGUAAAGGCUCACCUAGGCGACGAUCAGUAGCGGGUCUGAGAGGAUGAGCCGCCACACUGGGACUGAGACACGGCCCAGACUCCUACGGGAGGCAGCAGAGGGGAAUAUUGCACAAUGGGCGCAAGCCUGAUGCAGCGACGUCGCGUGGAGGAUGACGGUUUUCGGAUUGUAAACUCCUGUUAAGUGGGAAGAAAGAGGCUUUGCUAAUAACAGAGCAAGAUGACGUUACCACUAAAGAAAGCACCGGCUAACUUCGUGCCAGCAGCCGCCGUAA